rnacentral:rRNA from 1 species
AGGACGAACGCUGGCGGCGUGCUUAACACAUGCAAGUCGAGCGGAAAGGCCCUUCGGGGUACUCGAGCGGCGAACGGGUGAGUAACACGUGAGUAACCUGCCUCUAGCUUCGGGAUAGCUCCGGGAAACCGGAAUUAAUACCGGAUAUGACCACGGCCGACAUCGGCCACGGUGGAAAGAUUUAUCGGCUAGAGAUGGGCUCGCGGCCUAUCAGCUUGUUGGUGGGGUAACAGCCUACCAAGGCGACGACGGGUAGCCGGCCUGAGAGGGCGACCGGGCCACGACUGGGACUGAGACACGGCCCAGACUCCUACGGGAGGCAGCAGUGGGGAAUAUUGCGCAAUGGGCGAAAGCCUGACGCAGCGACGCCGCGUGGGGGAUGAAGGCCUUCGGGUUGUAAACUGCUUUUCUGGGGGACGAGCAAGGACGGUACCCAGGAAUCAGCCCCGGCUAACUACGUGCCAGCAGCCGC